rnacentral:piRNA from 1 species
UGCAAAGAAUUUUCGNGAUGCUGGUGCUG